GACGAACGCUGGCGGCGUGCUUAACACAUGCAAGUCGAACGGAAAGGCCCUGCUUUUGUGGGGUGCUCGAGUGGCGAACGGGUGAGUAACACGUGAGUAACCUGCCCUUGACUUUGGGAUAACUUCAGGAAACUGGGGCUAAUACCGGAUAGGAGCUCCUGCUGCAUGGUGGGGGUUGGAAGGUUUCGGCGGUUGGGGAUGGACUCGCGGCUUAUCAGCUUGUUGGUGGGGUAGUGGCUUACCAAGGCUUUGACGGGUAGCCGGCCUGAGAGGGUGACCGGCCACAUUGGGACUGAGAUACGGCCCAGACUCCGACGGGAGGCAGCAGUGGGGAAUAUUGCACAAUGGGCGGAAGCCUGAUGCAGCAACGCCGCGUGCGGGAUGACGGCCUUCGUGUUGUAAACCGCUUUCGCCUGUGACGAAGCGUGAGUGACGGUAAUGGGUAAAGAAGCACCGGCUAACUACGUG
rnacentral:rRNA from 1 species